rnacentral:rRNA from 1 species
GAUGAACGCUGACGGCGUGCUUAACACAUGCAAGUCGAACGAGAAGUGGAGACGGAAACCUUCGGGCGGAAGACUUUACUUCGAGUGGCGGACGGGUGAGUAACGCGUGGGUAACCUGCCUCAUACAGGGGGAUAACAGUUGGAAACGACUGUUAAUACCGCAUAAGACCACAGCACCGCAUGGUGCGGGGGUAAAAACUCCGGUGGUAUGAGAUGGACCCGCGUUCGAUUAGCCAGUUGGCGGGGUAACGGCCCACCAAAGCGACGAUCGAUAGCCGAUCUGAGAGGAUGACCGGCCACAUUGGGACUGAGACACGGCCCAAACUCCUACGGGAGGCAGCAGUGGGGAAUAUUGCACAAUGGGGGAAACCCUGAUGCAGCGACGCCGCGUGAGUGAAGAAGUAUUUCGGUAUGUAAAGCUCUAUCAGCAGGGAAGAAAAUGACAGUACCUGAGUAAGAAGCCCCGGCUAACUACGUG